AGGAAACCAGAACCGCAUCUCAUUUCUUCUAGCUGCAAUGGACGGAUAGCUUCAGCCGAAACAGCUUCACCAUUCCUUCUACAAAUUCACCAAAUCACUACCAAAACCUCCAUAGAUUCAACCAAAACUUCACAUACACUUAACUCUACACUUGGACAACACUUUAAGCUGAAAAAGGGAGGAGCUUCACGGUUUUCUUCAGGCUUCAAAGGGACCGAAAUUUUCUGAUUUGAACAACCAUCAAAGUAGGCGCUCAAGAGGACCUUCCAGAGGAUCUCACGGAAGACGCCUAAACCAUCAUUUGAACUCGCUACUUGAAUCACUGUUGGAUUGGAAGAUUUUGGUAAAGCUGACUAGAUUAUACUUUUGAUUGGAAUCGGGGCUGUAAAUGUGUAGUCGACUUUUAAUGGUUGCAUUUUGGAACUUGAUGUAUCUUUUGUAGACAUGAUGUAAGAUUUAAAUAUUUAGUUAAGGAAGCGACUUUUCUUUAUUUUGACUCAUAGUAUUUGGUAUGUAUCGUUAAGUUCGAUUUGAUUUGUCUUGAGUCCUGGCGAGAGUUGGACAGGCGUCCCGCGGAUACCCUUGGGUUCGCCCUUGGAAGAAGUGGGGGGCGUCACAUCUAAGCACAUAUAGAGCCUUUUGAACCUGGAAA